rnacentral:rRNA from 1 species
GCCUAGGAAUCUGCCUGGUAGUGGGGGACAACGUUUCGAAAGGAACGCUAAUACCGCAUACGUCCUACGGGAGAAAGCAGGGGACCUUCGGGCCUUGCGCUAUCAGAUGAGCCUAGGUCGGAUUAGCUAGUUGGUGAGGUAAUGGCUCACCAAGGCGACGAUCCGUAACUGGUCUGAGAGGAUGAUCAGUCACACUGGAACUGAGACACGGUCCAGACUCCUACGGGAGGCAGCAGUGGGGAAUAUUGGACAAUGGGCGAAAGCCUGAUCCAGCCAUGCCGCGUGUGUGAAGAAGGUCUUCGGAUUGUAAAGCACUUUAAGUUGGGAGGAAGGGCAGUAAGAUAAUACCUUGCUGUUUUGACGUUACCGACAGAAUAAGCACCGGCUAACUCUGUGCCAGCAGCCGCGGUAAUACAGAGGGUGCAAGCGUUAAUCGGAAUUACUGGGCGUAAAGCGCGCGUAGG